GAUGAACGCUGGCGGCGUGCCUAAUACAUGCAAGUCGAGCGAACAGACGAGGAGCUUGCUCCUCUGACGUUAGCGGCGGACGGGUGAGUAACACGUGGAUAACCUACCUAUAAGACUGGGAUAACUUCGGGAAACCGGAGCUAAUACCGGAUAAUAUAUUGAACCGCAUGGUUCAGUAGUGAAAGACGGUUUUGCUGUCACUUAUAGAUGGAUCCGCGCCGCAUUAGCUAGUUGGUAAGGUAACGGCUUACCAAGGCAAUGAUGCGUAGCCGACCUGAGAGGGUGAUCGGCCACACUGGAACUGAGACACGGUCCAGACUCCUACGGGAGGCAGCAGUAGGGAAUCUUCCGCAAUGGGCGAAAGCCUGACGGAGCAACGCCGCGUGAGUGAUGAAGGUCUUCGGAUCGUAAAACUCUGUUAUUAGGGAAGAACAAAUGUGUAAGUAACUAUGCACGUCUUGACGGUACCUAAUCAGAAAGCCACGGCUAACUACGUG
rnacentral:rRNA from 1 species